rnacentral:rRNA from 1 species
GACGAAGGUGGCAAGCGUUGUUCGGAUUUACUGGGCGUAAAGAGUGCGUAGGCGGUUUGAUAAGUCAGAAGUGAAAGCCCAGGGCUCAACCUUGGAAUUGCUUUUGAAACUAUCUUACUUGAAUCCGGUAGAGGUUGGCGGAAUUCUCAGUGUAGAGGUGAAAUUCGCAGAUAUUGAGAGGAACACCAGUGGCGUAAGCGGCCAACUGGACCGGUAUUGACGCUGAGGCACGAAAGCAUGGGGAGCAAACAGG